AUCACCUGUGGAUCUUGUUAAACUGCAGAUUUUGAUUUAGCAGGUUUGCAGUAGGGCCUGAAAAUCUGUAUUUUAGCAAGAUCUCAAGUGAUGCUAA
rnacentral:pre_miRNA from 1 species